AAGUCGUAACAAGGUUUCCGUAGGUGAACCUGCGGAAGGAUCAUUACCGAGUGAGGGCCCUCUGGGUCCAACCUCCCACCCGUGUUUAUCGUACCUUGUUGCUUCGGCGGGCCCGCCUCACGGCCGCCGGGGGGCUUCUGCCCUCGGGCCCGCGCCCGCCGAAGACACCAUUGAACGCUGUCUGAAGAUUGCAGUCUGAGCAAUUAGCUAAAUAAGUUAAAACUUUCAACAACGGAUCUCUUGGUUCCG
rnacentral:misc_RNA from 1 species